GUGUCAGCCGCCGCGGUAAUACGGAAGGGGCAAGCGUUGUUCGGAAUCAUUGGGCGUAAAGGGCGUGUAGGUGGUCUUGUAUGUCUACCGUGAAAGCGUACGGCUCAACCGUAUUUAGUCGGUAGAAACUGCAGGACUUGAGGCUGGGAGGGGCUGGUGGAAUUCCCCGUGUAGCGGUGAAAUGCGUAGAGAUGGGGGAGAACACUCGUGGCGAAGGCGGCCAGCUAGACCAGUUCUGACACUGAGGCGCGAUAGCGUGGGGAGCAAACAGGAUUAGAUACCCUGGUAGUCCACGCUGUAAACGAUGGGCACUAGGUGCUGGCGGUCUUGAUCCCGUCGGUGCCGGCGCUAACGCAGUAAGUGCCCCGCCUGGGGAGUACGGUCGCAAGGCUGAA
rnacentral:rRNA from 1 species